CUGGAUGACCUGUACCCUUGACACUCUGCCCUUGUCCCCUCUGAAAAUCAUAACUUCAUCUACGGGACAGGCCUUUAUGUUUUGUGAUUGUUCCAAGUCCUCCAGAAGCUGGGGAAACCCAGGGGGAAGAGCUUACAGACUGCUUAGGGCUCUGAUUCGCUGGGCAUUGACAGAUUUUGAAGGGGGCGUGAGGUGGUCUGAGCUAGCACAAUGCUUCCAGAGGGUGUCUCCUUCCUCCUUCAGUCUGGUUCACUUUAAUAUCAGACUUCUGCUUGCUCAGUAG
rnacentral:lncRNA from 1 species